AGUGAACGCUGGCGGUAGGCCUAACACAUGCAAGUCGAACGGCAGCACAGUAAGAGCUUGCUCUUACGGGUGGCGAGUGGCGGACGGGUGAGGAAUACAUCGGAAUCUACUUUUUCGUGGGGGAUAACGUAGGGAAACUUACGCUAAUACCGCAUACGACCUACGGGUGAAAGCAGGGGAACUUCGGACCUUGCGCGAUUGAAUGAGCCGAUGUCGGAUUAGCUAGUUGGCGGGGUAAAGGCCCACCAAGGCGGCGAUCCGUAGCUGGUCGGAGAGGAUGAUCGGCCACACUGGAGCGUGGACACGGUCCAUACUCCUACGGGAGGCAGCAGUGGGGAAUGUUGGACAAUGGUCGCAAGCCUGAUCCAGCCAUACCGCGUGGGUGAAGAAGGCCUUCGGGUUGUAAAGCCCUUUUGUUGGGAAAGAAAAGCAGCAGGUUAAUACCCCGCUGUUCUGACGGUACCCAAAGAAUAAGCACCGGCUAACUUCGUG
rnacentral:rRNA from 1 species